AUGGUGGCAAAGAAAAACCUUUUCUGCUUUGGAUCCUUCGCGAUAAAAGAUGGGCCAGAGAUUCGUUUCUGGGAGGACAACAGGCUAGGCAAUGCCAGCCUCCGAGAACAAUAUCUAGCUUUGUACCGCAUUGUUCGUGAUAAGCAUGAUACUCUAGUGCAGGUGCUUAGUUCAUUCCCGCCGAAUAUUUCUUUUAGGCGGGAUUUGAUUGGCCCUCGUCUUAUGUCAUGGCAAAAUCUAUUAUCUCAAUUGGAGUCGAUUAACCUGACACAUGGACGGGACGUGUUUCGCUGGAACCUCACUACAUCUGGGUCCUUCACAGUUGACUCUAUAUACCAUGCGCUCACGCAUUCAGAGGUCCCAGUGGAUAAUAACAAGAAAAUUUGGACGAUGAAAAUUCCACUAAAAGUUAAAAUCUUCAUGUGGUAUCUUCGAAGAGGAGUUGUGCUAACCACAGACAAUCUUCCCAUCGCAAUUGGCACGAAAGUAAGAAGUGUAGUUUUCAUACUCAUGAGAGACAAUCAAACACCUCUUUUUUCAAUGCAAGUUUGCGUGUUCAGCAUGGUCAGUCAUCCAAAUAGCGUCCAGUUUAUAUCCGCCCACAAGUGUUGCUAA
rnacentral:rRNA from 1 species